AGAGUUUGAUCAUGGCUCAGGACGAACGCUGGCGGCGUGCCUAACACAUGCAAGUCGAACGGAGAUAAAGAUUUCGGUCUUUAUCUUAGUGGCGCACGGGUGAGUAACACGUGAAUAACCUGACCCAAAGAGGGGGAUAACACCUGGAAACAGGUGCUAAUACCGCAUAAGACCACAAUGUCGCAUGACGAAGGGGUCAAAGAAAAUCGCUUUGGGAGGGGUUCGCGUCCCAUUAGGUAGUAGGCGGGGUAACGGCCCACCUAGCCGACGAUGGGUAGCCGAGCUGAGAGGCUGAUCGGCCACACUGGAACUGAGACACGGUCCAGACUCCUACGGGAGGCAGCAGUGGGGAAUAUUGGGCAAUGGGCCCAAGCCUGACCCAGCAACGCCGCGUGAGGGAAGAAGGUUUUCGGAUUGUAAACCUCUGUCGCAGAAGACGAAGGAAGUGACGGUAUUCUGUGAGGAAGCCCCGGCUAACUACGUGCCAGCAGCCGCGGUAAUACGUAGGGGGCGAGCGUUGUCCGGAAUUACUGGGCGUAAAGGGAGCGUAGGCGGUCUGAUAAGUUGGAUGUGAAAUACCCGGGCUUAACUUGGGGGGUGCAUCCAAUACUGUUGGACUAGAGUACAGGAGAGGAAAGCGGUAUUCCUAGUGUAGCGGUGAAAUGCAUAGAUAUUAGGAGGAACAUCGGUGGCGAAGGCGGCUUUCUGGACUGCAACUGACGCUGAGGCUCGAAAGCGUGGGGAGCAAACAGGAUUAGAUACCCUGGUAGUCCACGCUGUAAACGAUGAAUACUAGGUGUAGGGGGUAUAAACUCCCUCUGUGCCGCAGCAAACGCAAUAAGUAUUCCGCCUGGGGAGUACGGCCGCAAGGUUGAAACUCAAAGGAAUUGACGGGGGCCCGCACAAGCAGCGGAGCAUGUGGUUUAAUUCGACGCAACGCGAAGAACCUUACCAAGGCUUGACAUCCACUUAAAGUUAUGGAAACAUAAUGUCCCUUCGGGGGAAGUGAGACAGGUGGUGCAUGGUUGUCGUCAGCUCGUGUCGUGAGAUGUUGGGUUAGGUCCCGCAACGAGCGCAACCCUUAUCUUCAGUAGCCAGCAUAUAGGAUGGGCACUCUGGAGAGACUGCCAGGGAUAACCUGGAGGAAGGUGGGGAUGACGUCAAAUCAUCAUGCCCCUUAUGACCAGGGCUACACACGUGCUACAAUGGCGUAAACAAAGGGAAGCAGAGCCGCGAGGCCGAGCAAAUCUCAAAAAUAACGUCUCAGUUCGGAUUGUAGUCUGCAACUCGACUACAUGAAGCUGGAAUCGCUAGUAAUCGCAGAUCAGAAUGCUGCGGUGAAUACGUUCCCGGGUCUUGUACACACCGCCCGUCACACCAUGGGAGUCAGUAACGCCCGAAGUCAGUGACCCAACCGAAAGGAGGGAGCUGCCGAAGGUGGGACCGAUAACUGGGGUGAAGUCGUAACAAGGUA
rnacentral:rRNA from 1 species